GAUGAACGCUAGCGGGAGGCCUAACACAUGCAAGCCGAGCGGUAGAGAUUCUUCGGAAUCUUGAGAGCGGCGUACGGGUGCGGAACACGUGUGCAACCUGCCUUUAUCAGGGGGAUAGCCUUUCGAAAGGAAGAUUAAUACCCCAUAAUAUAUUUGAUGGCAUCAUUAGAUAUUGAAAGCUUUGGCGGAUAGAGAUGGGCACGCGCAAGAUUAGAUAGUUGGUGAGGUAACGGCUCACCAAGUCGAUGAUCUUUAGGGGGCCUGAGAGGGUGAUCCCCCACACUGGUACUGAGGCACGGACCAGACUCCUACGGGAGGCAGCAGUGAGGAAUAUUGGACAAUGGGUUAGCGCCUGAUCCAGCCAUCCCGCGUGAAGGACGACGGCCCUAUGGGUUGUAAACUUCUUUUGUACAGGGAUAAACCUACUCUCGUGAGAGUAGCUGAAGGUACUGUACGAAUAAGCACCGGCUAACUCCGUG
rnacentral:rRNA from 1 species